UCCUACGGGGCGCAGCAGUGAGGAAUAUUGGUCAAUGGGCGCGAGCCUGAACCAGCCAAGUCGCGUGAGGGAAGACGGUCCUAUGGAUUGUAAACCUCUUUUGUCGGGGAGCAAAAGACGCCACGCGUGGCGUUCCGAGAGUACCCGAAGAAAAAGCAUCGGCUAACUCCGUGCCAGCAGCCGCGGUAAUACGGAGGAUGCGAGCGUUAUCCGGAUUUAUUGGGUUUAAAGGGUGCGCAGGCGGAAGAUCAAGUCAGCGGUAAAAUUGAGAGGCUCAACCUCAUCGAGCCGUUGAACCUGGUUUU
rnacentral:rRNA from 1 species